rnacentral:tRNA from 1 species
CAUUAGAGUGACUGAAAGUAAGUAAUGGUCUCUUAAACCAAUUUAUAAUAAGUAACAAUUAUUCCUAAUGA